GGGGUAUUAGUGUAGUGGUAUCACGUUUCAUUCGCACUAGCUUGCGCGACUGAUUUGAAGCAACCGGCGUUCGAUUCGCCGAUACUCCA